GUGUAUUGGAUAGCAUAUGUACUAAAAUUGGAACGAUCCAGAGAAGACUAGCAUGGCCCCUCGCGCAAAGACGGAUGACACGCAUGUUCGUGAAGUGUUCCUAAUUUUU